ensembl:lncRNA
UUGUCCUACCUGCUUCUACCUCUCACGCUGCUGUUCAGUGUUGUACUCCAGAGUAGGCACAGACUGCAGCUGCUGUUCAGGCAGCCGCCUGAGUUGAUUGGCUGGACUUGGCACAGCAUCAGACUUUUUACCUUAUUCUUUCUCACUGUGGUUGUCUGUACCCUCAAGAAGAACAUAAAGGACAGGGUCAUGCCCGGCAUCCUGAUGUUGCAGUGGCUGUCGACACAAUUUGAGGCUGCAGGAGGUCAGAAGCACCCAUCACCUCAAAACAAGCUUUCCUCACAUUCAGAAGAUGUCAGGAGCGGGAGCCUGCAAAGACUAAUAAACUCUCUAUUUCCAGAUUACAAGAAUCCAAAGUUACAAUUUAUGUCGAAAGCUGACCAACC